rnacentral:lncRNA from 1 species
UUCACCAACUCCAUACUAUUACAAGUCACCUCCUCCUCCAUCUCCAGUUUACAUAUACAAGUCACCACCUCCUCCAUCACCUACUUAUGUUUACAAGUCACCACCACCACCAGUGAAGUCACCUCCCUAUUACUAUCAAUCUCCACCUCCACCAUCACCAAAACCUCAGCCUCCUUAUUAUUAUCACUCUCCACCUCCUCCAACACCAGUUGUUAAGCCACCAUACUACUACCAAUCUCCACCUCCUCCAUCUCCAAAACCUAAGCCUCCAUACUACUACCAAUCUCCUCCUCCUCCAUCACCAAAACCUAAACCUCCUUACUACUACCAAUCUCCACCUCCUCCAUCACCAAAACCUCAGCCUCCAUACUACUAUCAAUCUCCACCUCCUCCAACACCAGUUGUGAAGCCACCAUACUACUACCAAUCUCCACCUCCUCCAUCACCAAAACCUCAGCCUCCUUACUAUUACCAAUCUCCACCUCCUCCAACACCAGUUGUUAAGCCACCAUACUACUAUAAAUCUCCACCUCCCCCAUCACCCUCUCCUCCACCACCAUACUACUACAAAUCUCCACCACCACCAUCCCCAUCACCGCCACCUCCAUACUACUAUAAAUCUCCACCUCCACCAUCACCGGUUGUUAAGCCACCAUACUACUAUAAAUCCCCACCUCCCCCAUCACCCUCUCCUCCCCCUCCAUACUACUAUAAAUCUCCACCUCCAUACUACUACCACUCUCCACCUCCACCAUCACCAGUUGUUAAGCCACCAUACUACUACAAAUCUCCACCUCCACCAUCACCCUCACCUCCCCCUCCAUACUACUAUAAAUCUCCACCCCCACCUUCACCAUCCCCUCCUCCUCCAUACUAUUAUAAAUCACCACCACCACCAUCCCCAUCACCGCCACCUCCAUACUAUUACAAAUCCC